rnacentral:rRNA from 1 species
CUACGGGGUGCUCCAGUGGGGAAUAUUGCACAAUGGGCGCAAGCCUGAUGCAGCCAUGCCGCGUGUAUGAAGAAGGCCUUCGGGUUGUAAAGUACUUUCAGCGGGGAGGAAGGGAGUAAAGUUAAUACCUUUGCUCAUUGACGUUACCCGCAGAAGAAGCACCGGCUAAGUCCGUGCCAGCAGCCGCGGUAAUACGGAGGGUGCAAGCGUUAAUCGGAAUUACUGGGCGUAAAGCGCACGCAGGCGGUUUGUUAAGUCAGAUGUGAAAUCCCCGGGCUCAACCUGGGAACUGCAUCUGAUACUGGCAAGCUUGAGUGUGGUAGAGGGGGGUAGAAUUCCAGGUGUAGCGGUGAAGUGCGUAGAGAUCUGGAGGAAUACCGGUGGCGAAGGCGGCCCCCUGGACGAAGACUGACGCUCAGGUGCGAAAGCGUGGGGAGCAAACAGGAUUAGAUACCCCUGUAGUC